GCACGAGAAAGUGGAGCAAUCCAUGAGUAAAGUGGCGAACGGGUGAGUAACACGUGACUACCUGCCCUCGAGUGGGGAAUAACCUCGGGAAACCGGGGCUAAUACCGCAUAACAUCGAGAGAUCAAAGCAGCAAUGCGCUUGAGGAGGGGGUCGCGUCUGAUUAGCUAGUUGGUAGGGUAACGGCCUACCAAGGCGAUGAUCAGUAGCCGGCCUGAGAGGGCGCACGGCCACACUGGAACUGAAACACGGUCCAGACUCCUACGGGAGGCAGCAGUGGGGAAUUUUGCGCAAUGGGGGAAACCCUGACGCAGCAACGCCGCGUGGAGGAUGAAGUCCCUUGGGACGUAAACUCCUUUCGAUCGGGACGAUUAUGACGGUACCGGAAGAAGAAGCCCCGGCUAACUUCGUG
rnacentral:rRNA from 1 species